rnacentral:tRNA from 1 species
GGGUCGAUGCCAGAGCGGUUAAAUGGGGCGGAUUGUAACUCCGCUGGCUUAGCCUACGCUGGUUCAAAUCCAGCUCGGCCCA